CCUACGGGUGGCAGCAGUGAGGAAUAUUGGUCAAUGGACGAGAGUCUGAACCAGCCAAGUAGCGUGAAGGAUGACUGCCCUAUGGGUUGUAAACUUCUUUUAUAUGGGAAUAAAACAGGGUAUGCAUACCAUCUUGUAUGUACCAUAUGAAUAAGGAUCGGCUAACUCCGUGCCAGCAGCCGCGGUAAUACGGAGGAUCCGAGCGUUAUCCGGAUUUAUUGGGUUUAAAGGGAGCGUAGGUGGAUUGUUAAGUCAGUUGUGAAAGUUUGCGGCUCAACCGUAAAAUUGCAGUUGAAACUGGCAGUCUGGAGUACAGUAGAGGUGGGCGGAAUGCGUGGUGUAGCGGUGAAAUGCUUAGAUAUCACGAAGAACUCCGAUUGCGAAGGCAGCUCACUGGACUGCAACUGACACUGAUGCUCGAAAGUGUGGGUAUCAAACAGGAUUAGAUACCCGAGUAGUC
rnacentral:rRNA from 1 species